GUUAGAACGCUCGUAGUCGGAUUUCGGGGCGGGUCGACCGGUCUGCCGAUGGGUACGCACUGGUCGACGCGUCCUUCCUUCCGGAGACCGUGCCUACUCUUAACUGAGCGGGGGCGGGAGACGGAACGUUUACUUUGAAAAAAUCAGAGUGUUUCAAGCAGGCAGCUCGCUCUUGCAUGGAUUAGCAUGGGAUAAUGAAAUAGGACUUUGGUGCUAUUUUGUUGGUUUCGAACACCGAAGUAAUGAUGAGAAGGGACAGUCAGGGGCACUCGUAUUCCGCCGAGAGAGGUGAAAUUCUCAGACCAGCGGAAGACGAACCACUGCGAAAGCAUUUGCCAGGGAUGUUUUCACUGAUCAAGAACGAAAGUUAGGGGAUCGAAGACGAUCAGAUACCGUCGUAGUCUUAACCAUAAACCAUGCCGACUAGGGAUUGGAGGAUGUUCACUGAUUGACUCCUUCAGCACCUUACGGGAAACUAAAGUCUUUGGGUUCCGGGGGGAGUAUGGUCGCAAGGCUGAAACUUAAAGGAAUUGACGGAAGGGCACCACCAGGUGUGGAGCCUGCGGCUUAAUUUGACUCAACACGGGGAAACUUACCAGGUCCAGACAUUGUGAGGAUUGACAGAUUGAGAGCUCUUUCUUGAUUCGAUGGGUGGUGGUGCAUGGCCGUUCUUAGUUGGUGGAGUGAUUUGUCUGGUUAAUUCCGUUAAC
rnacentral:rRNA from 1 species